GCCCGGCGUCUCGACGCCCGGCGCACUACAUCCGCAUACUUGCUGCGGACGCCGCGACGAUUUUCAAUAUUCCGUAUCUACUCGACGACGGGAAAUACGAUCCGAGACGCGCGGGAACCGACGAUCCGUCGGCGUAUCUUUUGAACGCCUGAUAUUUUAUCUAUCCUUCUUCGAUGUCGCCGUCGACGUUCUCAGCUUCUAUCUUUAAGGUGCAGCUUGCUUGUAUUCGAAUUUCGGGCCAAAGUCACAGCGAUGCUCGCAUGAAUUACGGUCGAUUGCCUCCCGGAACGCCCUAUAUAAGACCACCCGUGCAUGCAUGAAGAGAUUAGAACAAGACUCGCGUGGUGCGGUAACCCGCAGCCUAUACCUGAGGGCGUCAGAGGCGUCGCGACGACGGUGGG